rnacentral:tRNA from 1 species
GGGUUGGUAGCUUAAAAAGAGUGUUGAACUUUUGAUUCAAAGGUAGGGAAUGACAUGCCCUCCAACCUU